rnacentral:rRNA from 1 species
GAUGAACGCUGGCGGCGUGCCUAAUACAUGCAAGUCGAGCGAACAGACGAGGAGCUUUCUCCUCUGACGUUAGCGGCGGACGGGUGAGUAACACGUGGAUAACCUACCUAUAAGACUGGGAUAACUUCGGGAAACCGGAGCUAAUACCGGAUCAUAUAUUGAACCGCAUGGUUCAAUAGUGAAAGACGGUUUUGCUGUCACUUAUAGAUGGAUCCGCGCCGCAUUAGCUAGUUGGUAAGGUAACGGCUUACCAAGGCAACGAUGCGUAGCCGACCUGAGAGGGUGAUCGGCCACACUGGAACUGAGACACGGUCCAGACUCCUACGGGAGGCAGCAGUAGGGAAUCUUCCGCAAUGGGCGAAAGCUUGACGGAGCAACGCCGCGUGAGUGAUGAAGGUCUUCGGAUCGUAAAACUCUGUUAUUAGGGAAGAACAAAUGUGUAAGUAACUAUGCACGUCUUGACGGUACCUAAUCAGAAAGCCACGGCUAACUACGUG